AUCAUUUCUAAUUGUAUUGUUGUAAAUUAAAAAUACAUUGCAGUCUUAAAAAUUAACUAAGAAGGAUCCCUAGAAGGAUCUAUAAUCAAGACUAUUACUUAUUUAACUAAAAAUAAACGCUCUUUACAAUUAAUUAACUAUAGGACUGAUAGGAUUUCAAGCUAAUUCCUGAAAAUCUUAGUAAUGUCAAAACUGAAUAAUCUAUAGUGAUUGUAAACACAGUUAAAUUGUUUAAAUCUGAAUUUUGAGUUUAGCCCAGUUCACCUUCCUCUUGUACAACCUAUAAAAUCUGAUGAUGUCUCAGACUUAACUCCUGAAAUAUGGAGUCAUGUUAGUUUGAAGAGAUUAAAAUAAAAAGUCAGUGACGAAGAAACUAAAUAGAAAAUCUUUACAUUGUUUUGACAUCAGAGACACCUAGACUACAACAUAUACCGGUAGUGUAAACUAGGCGAAAAGGUAUGACAAUGAUCAGAUGUACAGCACAACUGACAUAUGAAUUGAUAAUUGAAAGGAAUAAAAUUUAUAGCAUUAAUUUAGCAUUUAUCCGUAAGAUAGCAUUAUGUAAGGCUUUAAUUUUGUGUGUUGCAUAAAAUAUCAUUAGUUGUUAGAAUUAUUCCUUUAAAAUUAUAAAUAAGAAGCUGCUUCACCUACGAGCUUCUCGUUGUGGAAGCUGAAGAGAAUAUUAAACCUUUCAAACCGUUCCUUACUAGCCAGGAAUUGUGGUGGAUGUGGAAUCUUACUGAACUCCCCUAAAGACUUCGAAAAUAGUUGUGUAGUUGUUAAACUUUUUUUCUGAUGUGAGAGCUUAGGGGAACUCUCUUCCUGACUUUAUCGACUAUACAUAUGCUCAAUGCCUUUUCAUUUAUUUCAACUCUCGCACGUCUCGAGAAAUAGAAGCAGUUUUUGACAAAGAGAAGUAUUUCCUUCCACAUUACCUCUGACUUUUGCUUUCAAAUCUCGCGAACGCUCGGUUCAUUCAAGACUAAAAGAUUUAUGACAUUUUUCAAGAACAUUAAAUAUUAAAUGUAUAUUGUAACAUUGGCUAAUGAAUUCACAACAAAGUGCCAAUCAACAGUGUACUGUACCUUGAAAUUUCAACAGUGUUCUAAACCGGCCCUUUGGCAAAUCAGAAAGAGAGCUGAGGUCUGUGUCUGACUGAUAGCCUACUGUGGUUUUGUUGUGCUAUGAAUUAUAUGAAUUCGUGUUGUGUGUGGACCGUGGCGUGCGGCGUGGUGUGAUAGUGUGGUUGGAGGUUAUAGUAUGGUUAUGUUCUUAUAGUACAACUUUAUCGUUAUCUUAUGAAAGUACUGGUGCGUACAUAUUUUUACCUAAUGAAUUACAUAAAUUUUUCGGGAUCACCAAUAUCACUGUUAGAUUUCGUUCGAUAUGUACUGCAAAAUUCUGGUGAUUCAUUUUCGUUUUAUAGCGGGAAAUUAGCCUAUAAUGAUCAGGAGUUCUUUGGUGAUGGAAGCCAGAUAUCAGAAUUGUGUGAAUAUACUUGUAAGAGGAUUAGAGAAGAAUGGUCUGUAAAUAACAUUGGCAUCAUGACUGAGGAAGAUGGAGAAUUGCUGAUGUGCGUAACAAGUCCAGACCCUAGUAUGCCUGCAGAAGUUAUCGGUGUCUUAGUGGAAUCAUUAGCUGUUUUGCAUUGCAUAUUUGAGUGGAGUGAAAUGGAAUUCUAGUUCGUCAGAUGCUGAGAGUGAUCCUGGUUCGUCUGAUUCAGAGAGUGAUGACAGUCUGGACAAGGACAUUUCAUCAAGUCUGAUACAAGUGAAUGCUACCAAGAAUGAGAUCAGUGAAAGGAUAAAUAGAUUCAUCGGCUACAAACGAGAACAAGCCAACAUCAACAACAUCCUAGACUUCUGUGGUCCGCCUGACAUCGACAAACUGUGUGCUAGGGUUGAUGCAGUUCUCACACGCAAGAAAAACUCUUCCAGUCAUAUGGCAGUUCGCAAUGUUUUGGACAGAUUCACUCAUAAGCACACUGCUGGAAAGACCAAGAAACUUGAAACGUCAGAUUCUGUAAGUAAAUCUUUGAUUUUAUCCAUUUCAGCUGAUUUAAAUAAUACACAUUUUAUAACAAAUCUAACCUUCAUUGUCUUUUAUCCCUUUUAUGAUAGACACCUGUAAUGGGCAACCGUUCACAUUUUUUUGCAGUUUACUGUCUUGUUAUUACUCCAAAUUCCAUUUACCUUGAUAAGCAUGUUGUGAACAAUAUUGGCUUCAUGGGAACACAAUAAAGAUGUUUUGAUGCAUGAAAAUUGUUUAAAUCUCCGAUCAACUUGUUUUAG